CGCCGGGGUUCAAAGCCCACCGAGGGGACCCACAAGCACAAAAGGACUCAUUUUAAGAGAGAAAUCUGUAUGAAGUCCCGACUUGCUGACCAGGCCCCCCAAAGCCACUGGGGUUGGAGGGGCAAUAAGGUCUGCAACAGAGAGCAUGUUGGGGCGCCUCCACUCUGGUUCUGGGUCCAGGACACUCAUUUCUUAAACCGUCAGAAGUGGGUCUGAGUCCAGAGAUCCCCGGGGUUGGGGGCUGGGGGGCCGGGGCUACUGGGUUCUCUGUGUGGACUGGCUUUGAAGGAAAGGGCAGGGCAAGGAGGUGUGUUCAUAGACCACGAGCUGUCCCAGGUCCUUCCACACUCUGAAGCUAGGUUUCUGGUGGAAGGUGAAUAGGUAGAAACUCCAUGAGAUUCCCAGUCUUAAUCACAGACCUGACCAUGGCGGGGGGGCCCAUCUUCCUGCUUUACACAUUGAGGGUUACCUCUGUGAAAUCUGGGGCGGGGGGGAAGGAGAGACCAGACGAAGAGACUUCUUGAAGGGUACUGAGGGGUAUGGGCACAGGCCCGGGAAAGGUGAUUAAAUCUCAUCUUCUGUUUUUUACCGAGUUAAUUUAUAGCUCUGGGGGCGGAGCAAUGGGUCUGAGUAUGUGUAUGCAUUUCACGUACAUUGUGUGUCCUUGGUUGCGUGUGCUGCAUUUUGUGCGCCUUGUAAGAGUCAACGCAUCGUGUGUUUGCACUGAGUUUGUGUAUUUGGAGCGAUUUCGUAUGUGCACUCCUUGUGUUCGUGUAGUUUUUGUGUAUUUUGCACCUGGGUGCAGGUCAUGUCGUGUACCCGGUGCAUGUAUGUCUUUGUAUAGGUCCUGUAUUGGUAAGUCCAUUCUAUGUGUGUGCUGGAUGCGUACUUUGGAUAUGGGGAUAACCAUGUAUCUAUCUUAAUUUGGUCUCUGUGUAUUUUGCAUGUGUGUUGCAUGUUUUGUGUAUGUGGCAACAGUGUGCCUCCUUUGUGGUGGGUGUGCAUGCAUGUGUGCCUGUGUGUGGGAAGGUUCUGUAGUCCUAGGUCAAGGACAGGGGGAUAAAAUACCCUUGACCUAGGCCUUAGGGAUGGGAUGGGUCCCCCUUCCUCACGUCUCGGAAAUUCAGCACCAUCUCCCACGAGGACGGGGAGAGAAGCACAGAGGCCCUGCACUGGGCCGGAUGCCCCGCAGACACCUGGGGAUGUGGGUGACCAGGAACUAGUGAGCACCCUGGGCCUAGCACCCUGAGCUGGUGCCCCACCCCCAAGGUAACUGCAGGUGCUAAACAGCCAACAGUGAGGCUGGGGCUGGGCCUACGACUGGGCAGCCCGACCACACACCUCUCUGUGUUUGGGACAUUUCAGCUAUUGUGUUGAAAGGCAGAGGCCCAGGCUGUGAGGCAAAGCCUCCCCACCUCCCCCCGCUCCAGGGCCAGCCUGACUCUGCCUCUCCACCUCUUCUGGGGGUGGGACCCUCUCC